ensembl:lncRNA
CUGAGCUCUGCCAAUGCCUCGCUGCAGCUAAGGGUGUGCAGCCAAGAGCCGUACCGGUGCUGGUUCUGUCCCUGCCUGCUGCACUGCAGGACCCUCGGAGGGAUGAAUGGAGAGAGUGAAUGGAACCAAGCCAAAGCAUAGCAGUGACUGCGGGCUUUGGCUAUGGAUGGGACCAGCUGGUGACCUCUUUGGUAGGGCAUGGCCAGGAUGCUUCUGCAAGGAGACGUGGCUGGGAACCCAAAAUCCCUCUCCUGCCCGUGCCCCAGCCCCUUCCUGCAAACACUUCUUACCAAGCAGCCAGGAUUGUCUGGAAAGCGUUCCUUGUGAGAGACAAACUGGAUCUGUUACUUAGCCAGACCUAAAGCCAGAAGCAGAAGGAAACAGGCGAGCGCUUUCCAAGCCACAUGCUCUGCGUGCAGAUCAAAGCAAAACCUCCCCCCUCCUUCACAGGGGGUUGAUUUGACGUGGUUCUCCAGCUGUGAGCUGCUGUCGAGAGGUGCUCAGGACCAGAGCGGGGCUGUGUUUGGUGCUCUGACUGAUGGGCAACACGGCUGCAAAACCCCAGCCCCGCCGUGACCCAGCGCGUGGGUUUUGGAUAGGGCAGAAGCUCAGAGCAGGUGGUGGGCAUCCUCUGUGCCUUGCUUCAUCCUGGGGACUGCAUGCUGUCUGCAUGCUGCUGCCAGAUCCCUGCCACGGGCACCAGUAUGCUGGACCAGAAUACCAACCAGUAUACUCCAGUUGCCCUGCUGCAUUCAGCCUGCCCCACUGGGCAACAUCUCUGCAAACCAUCCGUAGCCCAGUCAGUCCCUUAUCCCUCGGGCUUUCACUGAACCCUUUUGUCCGAACCCUUUCCCAAGGCUAUAUGAGCUCUUCGCAUUCUGCUGCUCCUUUUUCCCCAGGACAGUUUCCUUGAGGACCAUCCAUCCCCAAAGACAAUGUCAUCCCCAAACCUGCUCAACCAACUGCCCUACAAACCACCAUCACAGUGGGACAGAGAGCUG